UACGAAGGGGGCUAGCGUUGUUCGGAAUUACUGGGCGUAAAGGGCGCGUAGGCGGCCUUCUAAGUCGAACGUGAAAUCCCCGGGCUCAACCCGGGAACUGCGUCCGAUACUGGAAGGCUUGAAUCCGGGAGAGGGAUGUGGAAUUCCAGGUGUAGCGGUGAAAUGCGUAGAUAUCUGGAGGAACACCGGUGGCGAAGGCGGUUCUCUGGGAAUGUCCUGACGCUGAGGAGCGAAAGUGUGGGGAGCGAACAGG
rnacentral:rRNA from 1 species